rnacentral:rRNA from 1 species
UACGUAGGGUGCAAGCGUUAAUCGGAAUUACUGGGCGUAAAGCGUGCGCAGGCGGCUAUGCAAGACAGAUGUGAAAUCCCGAGGCUCAACCUCGGAACUGCCUUCGAUACUGGCGAUCUUCGAGUCCGGGAGAGGUGAGUGGAACUCCGAGUGUAGAGGUGAAAUUCGUAGAUAUUCGGAAGAACACCAGUGGCGAAGGCGGCUCACUGGCCCGGUACUGACGCUGAUAUACGAAAGCGUGGGGAGCAAACAGG